GACCACAGGGAUUGCCCUAGUAACGGCGAGUGAAGCGGCAACAGCUCAAAUUUGAAAUCUGGCUCCUUUGGGGUCCGAGUUGUAAUUUGUAGAGGGUGCUUUGGCGUUGGUUGUGGUCUAAGUUCCUUGGAACAGGACGUCACAGAGGGUGAGAAUCCCGUACGUGGCCGCCAGCCUUCACCGUGUAAAGCCCCUUCGAUGAGUCGAGUUGUUUGGGAAUGCAGCUCUAAAUGGGAGGUAAAUUUCUUCUAAAGCUAAAUAUUUGCCAGAGACCGAUAGCGCACAAGUAGAGUGAUCGAAAGAUGAAAAGCACUUUGGAAAGAGAGUCAAAAAGCACGUGAAAUUGUUGAAAGGGAAGCGCUUGCAGCUAGACGUGCCUUGGGUUGAUCAGCCGGACUUUUGCCCGGUGCACUCUUCCUUUGGCAGGCCAGCAUCAGUUUGGGCGGCUGGAUAAAGGUCUGUUAAACGUGACUUCCUUCGGGAAGAGCUUAUAGGGCAGACGACAUGCAGCCAGCCUGAACUGAGGUCCGCGCAUCUGCUAGGAUGCUGGCAUAAUAGCUGUAAGCGGCCCGUCUUGAAACACGGACCAAGGAGUCUAACAUCUAUGCGAGUGUUUGGGUGUCAAGCCCGAGCGCGUAAUGAAAGUAAACGGAGGUGGGAACCUUUUAGGUGCACCAUCGACCGAUCUUGAUGUCUUCGGAUGGAUUUGAGUAAGAGCAUAGCUGUUGGGACCCGAAAGAUGGUGAACUAUGCCUGAAUAGGGUGAAGCCAGAGGAAACUCUGGUGGAGGCUCGCAGCGGUUCUGACGUGCAAAUCGAUCGUCAAAUUUGGGCAUAGGGGCGAAAGACUAAUCUUAGUUUC
rnacentral:rRNA from 2 species